rnacentral:lncRNA from 1 species
CUUAGCUCUAGAGAGUACGAACACUGAAAAAGAUGCAAGCCUAGAAGAAACAAAAAUUGGGGAGAUCCUAAUCCAGGGCCUGACAGAAGAUAUGGUGACCGUUCUAAUCCGAGCCUGUGUGAGCAUGCUGGGAGUCCCUGUGGGCCCGACCACUUUGCAUGCACCCUUCGGCCUCGUUUGAGAGCUCCUCGAGGCCACAAUUAUGCCCAUGAUGUUUGCAGAGCCUGAGAGUACCCGGAUUGGUUCUUGAGUUUGACCCAGAGCUCCAGGGUUUCCAAUGGGGUUUACCCCCCUUAGGUGUACCCUUCUCUUAAGAGCACAUUCAUUGAGGGAUGCCUUGCACUCUUCGUCAUACAAUGGAAAAGGUUGUUCGCUCAGCAGCUACAAGUGGAGCUGGAAGUAC